rnacentral:rRNA from 1 species
GACGAACGCUGGCGGCGUGCUUAACACAUGCAAGUCGAACGGGCCCGCCCCUGUUUUUGGGGGUGGGUUGAGUGGCGAACGGGUGAGUAUCACGUGAGUAACCUGCCCCCUGCUCCUGGAUAACUGCUUGAAAGGGCGGCUAAUACGGGGUGUGCCGGCUGGUCCGCAUGGGCCUGGUCGGGAUAGUUUCAUCUUCGGGUGUUUCGGUGGGGGAUGGGCUCGCGGCCUAUCAGCUUGUUGGUGGGGUGAUGGCCCACCAAGGCGGUGACGGAUAGCCGGCCUGAGAGGGUGGGCGGCCACACUGGGACUGAGACACGGGCCAGACUCCUGCGGGAGGCAGCGGUGGGGGGUAUUGCACAAUGGGCGGAAGCCUGAUGCAGCGACGUCGCGUGAGGGAUGGAGGCCUUCGGGUUGUGAACCUCUUUCUCCGGUGGUGAAGGCCCUGUCCGUUGCGGCGGGGUUGACGGUAGCCGGGUAUGAAGCGCCGGCUAACUACGUG